rnacentral:rRNA from 1 species
GAUGAACGCUGGCGGCGUGCUUAACACAUGCAAGUCGAACGGAAAGGCUCCUGCUUGCAGGGGUACUCGAGUGGCGAACGGGUGAGUAACACGUGGGUGAUCUGCCCUGCACUUCGGGAUAAGCCUGGGAAACUGGGUCUAAUACCGGAUAGGACGAUGGUUUGGAUGCCAUUGUGGAAAGUUUUUUCGGUGUGGGAUGAGCUCGCGGCCUAUCAGCUUGUUGGUGGGGUAAUGGCCUACCAAGGCGUCGACGGGUAGCCGGCCUGAGAGGGUGUACGGCCACAUUGGGACUGAGAUACGGCCCAGACUCCUACGGGAGGCAGCAGUGGGGAAUAUUGCACAAUGGGCGGAAGCCUGAUGCAGCAACGCCGCGUGGGGGAUGACGGCCUUCGGGUUGUAAACUCCUUUCGCUAGGGACGAAGCGCAAGUGACGGUACCUGGAGAAGAAGCACCGGCUAACUACGUG